rnacentral:rRNA from 1 species
UAGGGAAUAUUGGUAAUCUGGGAAACCGGGAACCAGCAACGCCGCGUGUGCGAAGAAGGCCUUCGGGUUGUAAAGCACUUUUUAAGGGGAUGAGGAAGGACAGUACCCUUAGAAUAAGCCUCGGCUAACUACGUGCCAGCAGCCGCGGUAACACGUAGGAGGCAAGCGUUAUUCGGAUUUACUGGGCGUAAAGCGCGUGCAGGCGGUUUGGUAAGUUGGAUGUGAAAGCUCCCGGCCUAACUGGGAGAGGUCGUUCAAUACUACCAGACUAGAGGAUGGGAGAGGGAGGUGGAAUUCCGGGUGUAGUGGUGAAAUGCGUAGAUAUCCGGAGGAACACCAGUGGCGAAAGCGGCCUCCUGGCCCAUUUCUGACGCUCAGACGCGAAAGCUAGGGUAGCAAACG